rnacentral:rRNA from 1 species
GACGAACGCUGGCGGCAUGCCUAAUACAUGCAAGUCGAGCGAACAGAUGAAGUGCUUGCACUUCUGACGUUAGCGGCGAACGGGUGAGUAACACGUAAGGAAUCUACCUAUAAGCGGGGGAUAACAUUCGGAAACGGGUGCUAAUACCGCAUAAUAUCUUCUUCCGCAUGGAAGAAGAUUGAAAGACGGCUCUGCUGUCACUUAUAGAUGACCUUGCGGUGCAUUAGUUAGUUGGUGGGGUAACGGCCUACCAAGACGAUGAUGCAUAGCCGUCGUGAGAGGGUGAUCGGCCACAUUGGGACCGAGACACGGCCCAAACUCCUACGGGAGGCAGCAGUAGGGAAUCUUCCGCAAUGGGCGAAAGCCUGACGGAGCAAUGCCGCGUGAGUGAAGAAGGCCUUCGGGUCGUAAAACUCUGUUAUAAGAGAAGAACAAAUUGUAGAGUAACUGCUACAGUCUUGACGGUAUCUUAUCAGAAAGCCACGGCUAACUACGUGCCAGCCGCCGCCGUAA